CCGACUCCCAGGUAUCUGAAAAUGGAUGAGAUCUAGAGGGAUUUCCGCAGUAAACUCACCCUGUUGGAGCGCAGGCUGAAAGCCCUCCAUGGAUCUGUGUUUCCCCCUGUCCCCCAUUGUCGAAAACUCACCCCACGACGAGAUAUACCCUCGUACCCGAAGUGCACUCUCUCCCCUGAAACAAUCGAGGCAUUGAAAACCCCAACCUUUGACGUCUGGCAGUGGGCUCCAAAUGAGGUAA